rnacentral:rRNA from 1 species
UACAGAGGUCCCAAGCGUUGUUCGGAUUCAUUGGGCGUAAAGGGUGCGUAGGCGGCGCGGUAAGUCGGGUGUGAAAUCUCGGGGCUUAACUCCGAAACUGCAUUCGAUACUGCCGUGCUUGAGGACUGGAGAGGAGACUGGAAUUUACGGUGUAGCGGUGAAAUGCGUAGAUAUCGUAAGGAAGACCAGUGGCGAAGGCGGGUCUCGUGGACAGUUCCUGACGUUGAGGGACGAA